ensembl:lncRNA
GUCCUGCUGACACCACAACAUUGGUCUGAACCUCGACUCGUACACAUUGGGGAUACGUUUGGAUUAUUAAACGUUUCUUCUUUCACCAGAUUGGUGCAGAAGGGCGCAGCAGGGGGGCAGAGAGGUGAGCGCAUGAGGAGAGGGCGUCCCAAGACCCCCGUCUCCACACUUCGCGCUCGCACACACACAUUCGCGGACACACCGCACCUAGCAACCCUCCAGCCACCAUGGUAAAAACCCCUCAUCUUCUAUUUGUGUGGCUGGUUAAGCAUCAUGGUUUUGUUUGCAUAAGGUUAAUGUCUAAAUUGUGAAAUCUCCCUUACAUGUGUUUCUGUCCAAACCGCUCUAAUCUAAAACCAGCUGA